CAACCUCUUGUAGCCGCUACCAUUGCGUGCGCGCGAUUGCCACGCACCAGAACAUCGAUGGGCAGGAGGCGGUGCCGGUCCUUGAAGUGUGCGUUAUUUGUGCGGUUCUGCUCCCUCUGAACAGCUUUGCGGAAAGGGCUUUCAGGCACGACGCAUCGAACCGCAUCAUUUCGUGGUCGCCCGUCGGCGGUUUCUCUUUAUUUUCCCCGCCUCUAUUUUCCAAGUUUUUCAUCGCUCCGCUUUUGCUGUGCCUCGUGCGCCCUGGCACGGUACUGUAUCACUACUGCUUCCAUUGCUGCCAACCACAUAGACCUCUCCCUCCGAGAAAGAGCAACGUGCCAUUAUCGCAUCGCCUUAGAAGAUGUUCAGGAGCGCUUCCACGUUUCAGGCGGUGCCGCAAAGCCAGUGGCCCAUACCUUCCACAGCGCGCAGCUGCGUUCAGUGCGGCAAGUCAUUCGGCCUCUUUCAAGCUGCAGGCAACUGUCAUGGAUGCGGACGCGUGUGCUGUCCCAGCUGUCUCACAGAACAUCUUGUGCUACCGGGUCAGCCGGGCUCCCAGCCGGUGCCCGUGUGCAAUAUAUGCUCCAAAGCCAUCAAGCGCACGCUCGAAGAGGCGGAGAUGGCCGUGCAUCGAUGCCACCUACUUGAGGAGAUGCUGAAUGAGCAGGCCAAGCAGGCCGAGAAGCUGCGCAACGAAUUGCGCGAGCAGCAGGAAGAGAACAAACUUCUGACACACGAGAAGGAGAGUCUCAAGGCGACCAUUGCGAGGAUGGAGAUCGAGGCCGAGGUAGCGGCGGCCAAGGCAGCCGCCGCCGCCGCUGCAGCUGCUACGACGAUAGCCAGCACGGUAACGUCAGUGCACUCUCCCGCGGCGACGUCUUUGAAAGCAGACCCUGAUACGCGCGCCAAUGCCAGCACGUCGGCCGAAUCAGUUGCGGCCAUGGAGGAGCUACUGAACAAAAAGAAGCGGCAACUUGACAUGCGCGAGGCAACGCUGAAGGAUGCACUCAAGAAGGUUUCGUCUGACGCGGCGAAGAUCGCGGAUCAGCGUGCCGCGUUGCAGGAGCAGGAGAAGGUGAUGGCGGCACAGCUGACAGCUCAGUUUACAUCCCUCUUCGAAGAGGAGCGGCAGCGUCUAGAGGAUUUCUGCGCAGACGCCGUCACGGAUAUUCAGAACAAGUAUAUGGAGUGGGUAACGCAGCAGCAGGAUGGUGCCCUGGAGCGUCGACGGAGGUACGAGCAGGUGAUGGAGGAGCGUCAGCAGCGCGCGGCUGCAGAGCUGGCCGAGGCGAGGGCGGAGCGUGACGCGCUGCAGCGCGCACUGGAGAGUCAGCGGGCCCAGUUGGCAAAGUUGCAGGAGAGCGCGUUGAAGGUAGGGGCGGAGAGUCGGAGUGAAGAAAAGCGUAACGCCCCUUCGUCACAGUGCGCACGAAAAGGGAAGGAAUCACUCGAGGAAACCGUUGCGGGGGGUGUAGCGCUUGCGGUGGCGACGAAGGGGCAGCUUCAUGCGGGCCAAGCCGAGCCGGUCUCUAACAAACACCUGCGCGAGGAAGAACGACAGACGAGUAAUUGCGCGGCUGCUGCGUGCGCUGCGCUGGAGCAGAAAGCGCAAGACAGCAUGGAGGCCCUCGUGCGUGACAUGCGCGCCAAGGAGGAGGAGUGGGAAAGGGCGAAGGCUGCUGCGGUGGCUACUGCCGAGUCGGCUGUGCGCCUCGCGGAGCGCGAGCGACUGGUGCAAGAGGUCGAGAAAGCUCGACAGCAAAGCCGGCGUGAGGUCGAAGAAGCGGUGCGGGUUGCGACGCAGCAGCGCGACUCCGCCAUAGACGCACUCCGUAAGCAGCACGAGCAUGACAAGGAGGAGUGGCUCUCCAAGAUGCAGCAACUGGAGACGAGCCAGAGACGAAAAGCGGAAUACCAGCAAAGCCAAGACAAGUCCUGGCGUGAGGAGAAGGUGGCGCUGCAGAAAAAGUGCAGCGCACUCGAGACGUGCCUCGAGACACGAAAAACAGCAGCGUGGCAGCUGCAGCAGCAACUACGCGACGCCAAGCAGGAGCUGUACGAUUUGAAGGCAAAUACGGGCGGCAAAGAGGACGCCGCAGCAGAGGAAAGGCGAACGCAAGCCAGUGCCGCUGCGAUGACUGUGCAGCGUUGGGCAUCCGCUGUCCUCGAGGAAGUUCAGCAGGGGCAGCAGCUGAUGCUCGAAGAACAGGCGCGCGCCCUGGCACUUCUGCAGGACGAAAUGCAGAAGCGGGCGCUGGCCAACUAUGCAGCUGCGAAUGCCAGAGACGAGAGGCAACGCGAGGCAACUCAACGGCUGCACACGGAACUGGAAAGCGCUCGACAAGAACGGGACACGGCACUGGAGCAGUUGGGUCGCAUGCGAGAGACUGCAGCAGACAUGACGGCGAGAAUGAGUGAGGAGAGUGCGCAGCUGGGCACGCUGCGUGGCGCAUUGCAGAGGCAGCAGCGAGCUCUGGCCGAAUUGCAGGAGAAGCAUCAGCGCACUGUUGACGAACUCCACGCAACACGAGCGGCAGUGGCUGCCGCCGCCACUGCCGCUGAUGCAGCUGCCCCGCUGGCGGAGUCCCCAGUUCGCGUGAUGCCUGCCGUGGACGACACCUGCUAUCAUGUGUUGCUCCGCCUGGAGCAGCGCUGGGUGCAGCAGCAGGCGCAUCUACAGAGUCUCUACUCGGUGGCGCUUUAUGCAGUGGUGCAGCAGGAGUGGACGCAGGUGUUUGAAAGCAUGACGUCGUCGUUGGCGACGGAGGCAGAGCGGCAGCGGAGUUUGCGCAUCCGAAACGCGGAGGCUCUGGAGAAUACGACGAGUACCAUCAAGGAGGUGCAGGAUGACUUGCGCCUGCGCACGCAGGAGCUACUGCAACGUCAAGUCGACGUUGAGGAACGUGAAAGGCGCGUGCAAGACAAGAAGAAACGGGUGGAUGUGGUGUGCCGCAGCCUGUACACGGUGGCUCAAGAGCUGCGCAAGGUGCAUCUCGACGCCGCAGAGAGUUCUACGUUGGACGAGGUAAUGAACUCAGCCCGUGUGAUGAGUGAUUCCCCGUAGCUGUCUAGAAUGAACUGCAUGAGCCAGGUGGCCGGUGACGCAUGUGUGGUGCCGGCGCUCCUGCUGGAGAUGGGCAAGGUAGGGCGGCGUUGGAGACGAGGAGAGCUCGUCGGCCAGCCCACUCUUGGCAUGCGCGCCUCUGUUGCAUAUUCUCUGUUUUUGUUUGCUGCGUCGUGUCUUCGUUGCGCUCGUGUUUUGGUGGGGCCGGCGUGGUUUGCCGCGCUGUCUGUUUGGCCGCUUUUAGUGGUGUUGCCUCCUCUACUAAGGGUGGCGCGUUGGGUGCCGCCCCGCCCCUUUUCUUCAAGCACGCCCCCGCUCUCUGCGCAACGGCAAAAGUGCGCGCCUGUCCGCUCGAUCACUGUGCGUGCCUCUGCGAGAGAUUCUUCCUCGGAACCCCGUGUCAUCGUCACGUGCGGGUUGUCGCAGCAAUCCCCGCCGCAGCUGCGUCUCUCUGUCGCGCCUCGUUCUAAGUGUGGGCGCUCUGAGCACACGGGCGGCAGCAGACAUCUCUGCGUGCCCCACUCUUGUCUCCAUCCCGGCCACCGAUCACGCCAUUCGACCGCUUUGCGUGGAUGCUGCGCGGUGGCCGGCGCCCCUGUCUUCACGUUGCCAACUGCUUUUCCGCGCGUCCGCGUAGCACUG
rnacentral:misc_RNA from 1 species